rnacentral:rRNA from 1 species
UUCCUACGGGGGGCAGCAGUGAGGAAUAUUGGUCAAUGGGCGCGAGCCUGAACCAGCCAAGUAGCGUGAAGGACGACGGCUCUGCGAGUUGUAAACUGCUUUUGUACCGGGGUAAAAUGCCUUACGAGUAGGGUUUUGAAAGUACGGUACGAAUAAGGAUCGGCUAACUCCGUGCCAGCAGCCGCGGUAAUACGGAGGAUCCGAGCGUUAUCCGGAUUCAUUGGGUUUAAAGGGUGCGUAGGUUGUUUUAUAAGUUAGCGGUGAAAUACCGAUGCUCAACAUCGGGGCUGCCGCUAAUACUGUAG